GAAUGUGGGAUAUGGAUGGAGACGAGUUUAUAUAUCGAGCAAGAGAUAGUCAAAUAUCUAGUCACCGUAUUGUCAUCCCUACUAGUGACAAUACCUAAACUAUUAUAACUAAGGAUCCUUAUAUUUUAACAAUACUUUUUAACAACUUUUUGACAACAAGACACGUAUCACUAUUUUAUUGGUCUGUUUGAAUUUACUUUUAAUAAAAUAUUUGAAACGAACCAAUCACAAGCUACCACGUAUGCGUUGUUAAAAAGUUGUCAAAAAGGAGUUGUUAAAAGAAAUUUUUCCUAUAACUAAUACUGUGUUGUUUAAUUUUUAAACAAUCAUGACUUUUUUUUUUCUAAUGAUAAACACCUUUCAAUCACAUCUAGAAUAUUUUUCCCUUCUCCAAUUCGUUCUCGAAAACCCUAGCUCUCCAAUCUCUCCUACUUCACUUCUUUUUAAUCUUUCCCUCCUUUUGGGUCACAACCCAUUCCUUUNCCACAACCACCAUUGCAAUUUGGUUUACCCCAACCUCCAUUGUUUUUGAAGUCUACCAUUCCCCCAAUAUCCAUAGAUUUCUCGUCACAAUCGUGAAUUUGUCUAUCCCUUUCUCCAUUG
rnacentral:lncRNA from 1 species